rnacentral:rRNA from 1 species
CUACGGGGGGCUGCAGUGGGGAAUAUUGCACAAUGGGCGCAAGCCUGAUGCAGCCAUGCCGCGUGUAUGAAGAAGGCCUUCGGGUUGUAAAGUACUUUCAGCGGGGAGGAAGGGAGUAAAGUUAAUACCUUUGCUCAUUGACGUUACCCGCAGAAGAAGCACCGGCUAACUCCGUGCCAGCAGCCGCGGUAAUACGGAGGGUGCAAGCGUAAUCGGAAUUACUGGGCGUAAAGCGCACGCAGGCGGUUUGUUAAGUCAGAUGUGAAAUCCCCGGGCUCAACCUGGGAACUGCAUCUGAUACUGGCAAGCAUGAGUCUCGUAGAGGGGGGUAGAAUUCCAGGUGUAGCGGUGAUAUGCGUAGAGAUCUGGAGGAAUACCGGUGGCGAAGGCGGCCCCCUGGAAGAAGACUGACGCUCAGGUGCGAAAGCGUGGGGAGCAAACAGGAUUAGAUACCCUGGUAGUC